UGCCCAUUUACCUGUCAGACUCUGACACGGUCAGACUUGAAAAUCAUGACUUUUCCUUGUCCCAGACAUGAACAAAUCAACCCUGAUCCUCCGCCUGCCACUCCCUCACUAAUAAAUUAGCAGAGUUUACAUAACCCGCAGUCGGCAGUUUGCGCUGGGCGCCACCAACCCAAUUACGCGGCUCACGUCCUCCAGGAGAAUUUUCCUUCUGUUCAUGGCGCUUCGACAGUGAGCAGCUGAACCUGGCUGUAAGAGUGUCUGAGAAGACGUCUCUGGUGUCCCCAGCCCUGUGAGUCUCACCGUUUUUCGCUGCGUGUGUCUGGAGCCCUGCAGCGAAGCCGCACCCACUCCUGAACCACUGCACAGCCACCUGAUGCUCUGGGAACACCCUUUGUUCUGAAACCUGUUUCUGUCUGAUAUUGAAGUCAUCGUCACAGCUUCUCUUGACAGACGUUAGCAUAUCUGUUGCCUUCCUUUCUCUUCUAACCAUCAGGUGAUACUUCCUAGGGAUGCGAAGAAAAUAGACUCUAAAUGGCCAAAAAUCUGCUUGUUUGGGAUUUUUUUUAAAUAACUGGAUAUGUAAAAAGUUGAGUUUGGUGUAAGCAGGCUUUUGAACUAAUGGGUCUUAUUGUGAAGAAAUAAUACGGGGGUUGAUCCACAGAGGCUGGCAUUUGGAUUGUUCAUAUAAUCUGUCAAUAAUCAGAGAGUUAAAUCAAUUUGUCAAGAAGGAAAAUUAAUUCAUUUAAAAUUAUCAGAAACUCUACAGACAGCAUGAGUCAUAUCUAGAAAUUGGUAGCUUGCUUUAUUUUCAAAUUUUAGAAUCUAGGUUGACUGUAUUUAUACAUCAAAAAUCA
rnacentral:lncRNA from 1 species